rnacentral:rRNA from 1 species
GAUGAACGCUGGCGGCGUGCUUAACACAUGCAAGUCGAACGGAAAGGCCCAAGCUUGCUUGGGUACUCGAGUGGCGAACGGGUGAGUAACACGUGGGUGAUCUGCCCUGCACUUCGGGAUAAGCCUGGGAAACUGGGUCUAAUACCGGAUAGGACGAUGGUUUGGAUGCCAUUGUGGAAAGUUUUUUCGGUGUGGGAUGAGCUCGCGGCCUAUCAGCUUGUUGGUGGGGUAAUGGCCUACCAAGGCGUCGACGGGUAGCCGGCCUGAGAGGGUGUACGGCCACAUUGGGACUGAGAUACGGCCCAGACUCCUACGGGAGGCAGCAGUGGGGAAUAUUGCACAAUGGGCGCAAGCCUGAUGCAACGACGCCGCGUGGGGGAUGACGGCCUUCGGGUUGUAAACUCCUUUCGCUAGGGACGAAGCGUUUUUGUGACGGUACCUGGAGAAGAAGCACCGGCUAACUACGUG